rnacentral:rRNA from 1 species
UACGUAGGGUGCGAGCGUUAAUCGGAAUUACUGGGCGUAAAGCGUGCGUAGGCGGCUGUGCAAGACAGAUGUGAAAUCCCCGGGCUUAACCUGGGAACUGCAUUUGUGACUGCAUGGCUAGAGUGUGUCAGAGGGAGGUGGAAUUCCGCGUGUAGCAGUGAAAUGCGUAGAGAUGCGGAGGAACACCGAUGGCGAAGGCAGCCUCCUGGGAUAACACUGACGCUCUGGCACGAAAGCGUGGGGAGCAAA